rnacentral:rRNA from 1 species
UUGAACGCUGGCGGCAGGCCUAACACAUGCAAGUCGAACGGUAACAGGAAGAAGCUUGCUUCUUUGCUGACGAGUGGCGGACGGGUGAGUAAUGUCUGGGAAACUGCCUGAUGGAGGGGGAUAACUACUGGAAACGGUAGCUAAUACCGCAUAACGUCGCAAGACCAAAGAGGGGGACCUUCGGGCCUCUUGCCAUCGGAUGUGCCCAGAUGGGAUUAGCUAGUAGGUGGGGUAACGGCUCACCUAGGCGACGAUCCCUAGCUGGUCUGAGAGGAUGACCAGCCACACUGGAACUGAGACACGGUCCAGACUCCUACGGGAGGCAGCAGUGGGGAAUAUUGCACAAUGGGCGCAAGCCUGAUGCAGCCAUGCCGCGUGUAUGAAGAAGGCCUUCGGGUUGUAAAGUACUUUCAGCGGGGAGGAAGGGAGUAAAGUUAAUACCUUUGCUCAUUGACGUUACCCGCAGAAGAAGCACCGGCUAACUCCGUGCCAGCAGCCGCGGUAAUACGGAGGGUGCAAGCGUUAAUCGGAAUUACUGGGCGUAAAGCGCACGCAGGCGGUUUGUUAAGUCAGAUGUGAAAUCCCCGGGCUCAACCUGGGAACUGCAUCUGAUACUGGCAAGCUUGAGUCUCGUAGAGGGGGGUAGAAUUCCAGGUGUAGCGGUGAAAUGCGUAGAGAUCUGGAGGAAUACCGGUGGCGAAGG